GUCCCAGGUGUGUGCAGGUGUGUCCCAGGUGUGCCCCAGGGGUGCCAUGUGUGUGCCCCAGGUGUGUGCAGGUGUGCCCAGGUAUGUGCAGGUGUGCCCCAGGGCGGCGUCGACUCCUGCCAGGGUGACUCAGGUGGGCCGCUGGUGUGCGGGGGGUACCUGCAGGGCGUGGUCUCCUGGGGCCUGGCCGUGUGCGGGCAGCGCGGGAACCCCGGCGUGUACAGCAACGUCUGCCGGGCCACGCCCUGGAUCCGCCGCGUCAUCGGCAACGGCCAAUGAGGGACCGGCAACGGCCAGUGAGGGACCGGCAACGGCCAAUGAGGGACCGGCAGGGACCAGGAGUGACCACGAGUGACCAACAGUGACCAGGAGGGACCACAAGAGACCAGGAGUGACCACAAGUGACCAGGAGUGACCACAAGUGACCAGCAGUGACCAGCAGUGACCACGAGUGACCACGAGUGACCAGCAGUGACCGGGGAUUGGGGGGGGAAAUAAAGAAAAAUGGAAAAAACCCUGAGAGAUGUGAACUGGGAUGGACUGGGAGGGACUGGGAUGGACUGGGAUAGACUGGGAGUUACUGGGAGGGCGCUGGGAGGGACUGGGAGUUACUGGGAUUUACUGGGAGAGCACUGGAAGGGACUGGGAGGGACUGGGAGGAAGCUGCAGUUCACAAAGCCGCCACCAGAGGGAGUUUCAAAAAAUGCUGGGAAGGCAUUGGGGGAACUGGGAUGGACUGGGAGGGACUGGGAUUUACUGGGAUGGACUGGGAUUUACUGGGAUUUACUGGGAGGGACUGGGAUUUACUGGGAGGGACUGGGAGGGACUGGGAUUUACUGGGAUGGACUGGGAGGGACUGGGAAUUACUGAGAGGAAGCUGCAAUUCACAAAACCACCACGAGAGGGAGCUGAAAAAAACCACUGGGAAUGCAUUGGGUGUGCCCAGGUGUGCCCAGGUGUGUGCCCACCUCGUCCUUGAGCUGUGCCAGGAACAGGGGUCAGCUAGGUGUGCCCAGGUGUGCCCCCAUGUAUCUCCAUGUAUUCCCAGCUGUACCCAGGUGUGCCCAGGUGUGCCCAGGUGUGUGCCCAGGUGUGUGCCCACCUCAUCCUUGAGCUGUGCCAGGAACAGGGGCAGCAGGUGCUCCACCGUGUUGUCCUUGCCCAGGAUCGGGGACAGCCCCAUGAUCACCGAGGCCAGCGCCGACUUCACGUGCUGG
rnacentral:lncRNA from 1 species